AAAGGAAUUGACGGGGCCGCACAAGCGGUGGAGCAUGUGGUUUAAUUCGACGCAACGCGAAGAACCUUACCUGGGUUUGACAUCCCGAUCAUACUUUCUGGAAACAGUUAGGUCAGUUCGGCUGGAUCGGUGACAGGUGCUGCAUGGCUGUCGUCAGCUCGUGUCGUGAGAUGUUGGGUUAAGUCCCGCAACGAGCGCAACCCUUAUCCUUAGUUGCCAUCAUUAAGUUGGGCACUCUAGGGAGACUGCCGGUGUUAAACCGGAGGAAGUGGGGAUGACGUCAAGUCCUCAUGGCCCUUAUAUCCAGGGCUACACACGUGCUACAAUGGCCGGUACAAAGGGCAGCGAUACCGCGAGGUGGAGCAAAUCCCAUAAAGCCGGUCUCAGUUCGGAUUGGAGUCUGCAACUCGACUCCAUGAAGUUGGAAUCGCUAGUAAUCGCGUAUCAGCAUGACGCGGUGAAUACGUUCCCGGGCCUU
rnacentral:rRNA from 1 species